rnacentral:rRNA from 1 species
UACGUAGGGUGCGAGCGUUGUCCGGAAUUAUUGGGCGUAAAGAGCUUGUAGGCGGUUUGUCGCGUCUGCCGUGAAAUUUCGAGGCUCAACCUCGAACUUGCGGUGGGUACGGGCAGACUAGAGUGUGGUAGGGGAGACUGGAAUUCCUGGUGUAGCGGUGAAAUGCGCAGAUAUCAGGAGGAACACCGAUGGCGAAGGCAGGUCUCUGGGCCACUACUGACGCUCAUGCACGAAAGCGUGGGGAGCAAACAGG